GUGGGGAAUAUUCCGCAAUGGACGAAAGUCUGACGGAGCAACGCCGCGUGAGUGAUGAAGGUUUUCGGACUGUAAAGCUCUGUUGUUUGGGACGAAAGUGCCUGUUGCGAACAGUUACGGGUAUUGACGGUACUAAACGAGGAAGCCACGGCUAACUACGUGCCAGCAGCCGCGGUAAUACGUAGGUGGCAAGCGUUGUCCGGAAUUAUUGGGCGUAAAGAGCAUGUAGGCGGGAAUCUAAGUCUGUUAUUAAAAUGCGGGGCUCAACCCCGUAUUGCGAUGGAAACUGGGUUUCUUGAGUGCAGGAGAGGAAAGGGGAAUUCCCAGUGUAGCGGUGAAAUGCGUAGAUAUUGGGAGGAACACCAGUGGCGAAGGCGCCUUUCUGGACUGUGUCUGACGCUGAGAUGCGAAAGCCAGGGUAGCGAACGGGAUUAGAUACCCCUGUAGUCC
rnacentral:rRNA from 1 species